rnacentral:rRNA from 1 species
AAUAUUGCACAAUGGGGGAAACCCUGAUGCAGCCAUGCCGCGUGUAUGAAGAAGGCCUUCGGGUUGUAAAGUACUUUCAGUCGUGAGGAAGGGUGUGUAGUUAAUAGCUGCACGCCUUGACGUUAGCGACAGAAGAAGCACCGGCUAACUCCGUGCCAGCAGCCGCGGUAAUACGGAGGGUGCGAGCGUUAAUCGGAAUUACUGGGCGUAAAGCGCAUGCAGGCGGUCUGUUAAGCAAGAUGUGAAAGCCCGGGGCUCAACCUCGGAACCGCAUUUUGAACUGGCAGACUAGAGUCUUGUAGAGGGGGGUAGAAUUUCAGGUGUAGCGGUGAAAUGCGUAGAGAUCUGAAGGAAUACCGGUGGCGAAGGCGGCCCCCUGGACAAAGACUGACGCUCAGAUGCGAAAGCGUGGGGAGCAAACAGGAUUAGAUACCCUGGUAGUCCACGCCGUAAACGAUGUCUACUUGAAGGUUGUGGCCUUGAGCCGUGGCUUUCGGAGCUAACGCGUUAAGUAGACCGCCUGGGGAGUACGGUCGCAAGAUUAAAACUCAAAUGAAUUGACGGGGGCCCGCACAAGCGGUGGAGCAUGUGGUUUAAUUCGACGCAACGCGAAGAACCUUACCUGGGCUUGACAUCCUCUGAA